CCUACGGGAGGCAGCAGUGGGGAAUCUUGCGCAAUGCGCGAAAGCGUGACGCAGCAACGCCGCGUGAGGGAAGACGGCCUUCGGGUUGUAAACCUCUUUCAGUUGGGACGAAGCCACGGCGGUUAAUACCCGUCUGUGGUGACGGUACCUUCAGAAGAAGCCCCGGCUAACUACGUGCCAGCAGCCGCGGUAAUACGUAGGGGGCAAGCGUUGUCCGGAAUCAUUGGGCGUAAAGCGCGUGUAGGCGGCUUGGUAAGUCCGCUCUGAAAGCCCGGGGCUCAACCCCGGGAGGCGGGUGGAUACUGUCAAGCUCGAGUCCGGAAGAGGCGAGUGGAAUUCCUGGUGUAGCGGUGAAAUGCGCAGAUAUCAGGAGGAACACCAAUGGCGAAGGCAGCUCGCUGGGACGUGACUGACGCUGAGACGCGAAAGCGUGGGGAGGCAAACAGGAUUAGAUACCCUGGUAGUCCACGCCGUAAACCGAUGGGCACUAGGUGUGGGGGUGUCGGACUCCCCCGUGCCGAAGCUAACGCAUAGUGCCCGCCGUCGGGAGGUACGGCGUGCGACGGACGUAAACCGUAACCGUAAACGGUUAAAGUUAGUACGGCGUUGAGACGNGCCGACGGACGACGACGAGGGAGGAGG
rnacentral:rRNA from 1 species